ACGUGCAGGGCUGCACCGCGCAGGCCUCACCCACAGACUCCUGCGUCCACAGGAGGCCGGAGGAGACGGGAUGCCCUGGGAAUUUCACCAGGGGAGGAUGGGGAUUGUCCAGCCCUGACUCCUGAGCCACCUCUUCUCACCUGUAGCUCUUUGUAGGAAGUGCGAGGAGCUUGCUUGUUGGGUAUGUCUGUCUUGCUGUGCGUGAUCCGUGGCAGGAGGCUCCCCUGUCGGACUGUGCAGGCGUUUGCUAAUGGAGGGAUUUUUCCUGUUGAGCUGGAGUGUGUUAGGCGCUUUGGGUCUAUGUUGUUGCAGCUCUUUGAACACCAAUUGCUCCUGUGGCUGCUGAACAAGUUGGCUUCUUUUUCAGAGGCUUCUUUCGCUCUUUUUUUUGGCUCUUCUUUGGCUCUCUUGAGGUUUUGAAGAGGUAUAGUUCAUCUGCUGGGCUGUCAGGUCAGGGAGCCUGCAAUGUUCCACCUUGUUGCCCUCACUGAAAAUAAUCUGCAACUAGCUCUGCAAUCUCCUUGUGCCUUUUCUUGGGCAGGGCUGGAACAUAGAUGGUUCUGCACCAGUUUAGGUUCAGGUCAACCGCAGUGGCGCUGGCUGGCUGACAGAAGUCUGAGAGUGGCUUUGCUCCCAUGUCUGCUUUUCAUCAGAGAUGUCCCCAGCGUCAGGUUCUUGGGAUUCACGUACUCGUGAUGGUUGUAAGUGCUGUCCAGGAGACUAGCCUCCUUUUCUGCCUUAGACUUUAUUGCAGAAAGCAUUUCUCACCUGUUAACUAAUAUAGUGCCCUCUACUUGGGGCUCUCUUGGAAGAGCAUUUGGGACCUUCAGUCAAUGCAGAAUGUGGGAACCCCUUUUUUUAGUUGCAUACAUUUUAUAUGAGUAUUUUUUUUACCUGUGCUCUACACUGAUUCCUAGCUGAUUUUUUUUUCUAGUUGCAGUUCCAGGUGUUAGGAUCAAUUAGCUGUAAGUAUCCUGGAACCUAAAUGGUCUUUCUGGUAACUAUUUCCUGGUAGUCUGAAAGAGAACAGGUGGGCUGCUCUUGCUCUUGGUUUCAAGCCUUGCUCUUUUAGAAGCUGGUAUGUGGGCACUGGAUGAGGUCUUCAACCAUAGACCUUGUUCCCCUCCACGAUAAGUCACAGCCUGAGUUUAGUGGCCUUCCGAGCACUGCAUACGAUGUAUUCACUUGCUACAGUAAAGAAGCUGUCUUGGUAGUGAGAGAAGGAAUUGUUUGUUGAAACCAUAGCUAAAGAUGCUUAUGUAUAUGCCCAGCAAGGAAAAAGGAAAACUCUUCAGAGAAAAGACUUGGAUAAUGCCAUUGAAGCCAUUGAUGAGUUUGCUUUUCUGGAAGGCACUUUGGACUGACCUGGCCAGGAAAGGAGUUAUAUGAAGAAAGGGACUGGGACCACCUGCUGGGAAGACACGUGGGAUGAGAUUUUCAAAACAGUCAAUGGGAAUGGGACUCAUCUACUUAGUUUAAAUAAUGAUGUCUGUGUUUUACAGACUGCUUUGAGUGUCUCAAUCAUAAUGUUUUGUAUAAAGUUUAAGUUGUUAUAGUUCUUUAUUUUAAAUACAUAUUUUUCAUAAAUACUUUGUAUGCCAGUGUACUGUGUCCUCCAGGUCACAUUUCAAAGAUCAUCUCAAACUUGGUGUAUAAGACAGCAAUAGCUCAGUAUAGCAAUGCUGUAUUUGCGUCUAUUCUAAAAUUCUCCAUUGAUAAAAAGCUUUGAGGAUGGAUUGAACCUGCCUCUGAGGUCUGAUUAUAGUUGUUAUUUUUAUGGAAAUGUAUUUCUUUUUUGUAUGUUUGUCUCUUGGCCAAACAGAAUUCAACAUUUCUUGACUAAUAAAUAUGCUGCCCUGAGUCUUUUCUGGGGAGGGCGGCAUAUAUAGUU